UCCCUGGCAGUCCAGUGGUUAAGACUCUGCACUUCCACUGCAGAGGGCGAGGGUCUGAUCCCUUGUAGGGAA
rnacentral:tRNA from 1 species